rnacentral:rRNA from 1 species
ANUAAGNCCUGCAUGUCUAAGUAUAAGCAAUUAUACAGCGAAACUGCGAAUGGCUCAUUAUAUAAGUUAUCGUUUAUUUGAUAGCACCUUACUACUUGGAUAACCGUGGUAAUUCUAGAGCUAAUACAUGCUAAAAGUCCCGACUUCGGAAGGGAUGUAUUUAUUAGAUACAAAACCAAUGCCCUCCGGGGCUCAAUGGUGAUUCAUGAUAACUUCUCGAAUCGCACGGCCUUGCGCCGGCGAUGGUUCAUUCAAAUUUCUUCCCUAUCAACUUUCGAUGUUUGGGUAUUGGCCAAACAUGGUGGCAACGGGUAACGGAGGGUUAGGGCUCGACCCCGGAGAAGGAGCCUGAGAAACGGCUACUACAUCCAAGGAAGGCAGCAGGCGCGCAAAUUACCCAAUCCCGACUCGGGGAGGUAGUGACAAUAAAUACUGAUACAGGGCUCUAUUGGGUCUUGUAAUUGGAAUGAGUACAAUUUAAAUCCCUUAACGAGGAACAAUUGGAGGGCAAGUCUGGUGCCAGCAGCCGCGGUAAUUCCAGCUCCAAUAGCGUAUAUUAAAGUUGUUGUGGUUAAAAAGCUCGUAGUUGAACCUUGGGCCUGGCUGGCCGGUCCGCCUCACCGCGUGCACUGGCCCGGCCGGGCCUUUCCUUCUGUGGAACCCCAUGCCCUUCACUGGGUGUGGCGGGGAAACAGGACUUUUACUUUGAAAAAUUANAGUGCUCCAGGCAGGCCUAUGCUCGAAUACAUUA